rnacentral:rRNA from 1 species
UGCGCAGGCGGCUUGGCAAGAAAGAUGUGAAAUCCCCGAGCUUAACUUGGGAAUUGCAUUCGAUACUGGGAAGCUAGAGUAUGGGAGAGGAUGGUAGAAUUCCAGGUGUAGCGGUGAAAUGCGUAGAGAUCUGGAGGAAUACCGAUGGCGGAGGCAGCCAUCUGGCCUAAUACUGACACUGAGGUGCGAAAGCAUGGGGAGCAAACAGGAUUAGAUACCCUCGUA